UACGAAGGGGGCUAGCGUUGCUCGGAUUGACUGGGCGUAAAGCGCGUGUAGGCGGCUCGGUAAGUCCGGUGUGAAAUCUUGGGGCUCAACCCCAAGCCUGCACUGGAUACUGUCGAGCUUGAGUCCGGGAGGGGAGAGCGGAAUUCCUAGUGUAGCGGUGAAAUGCGCAGAUAUUAGGAAGAACACCGGUGGCGAAGGCGGCUCUCUGGAACGGUACUGACGCUGAGACGCGAAAGCGUGGGGAGCGAACAGG
rnacentral:rRNA from 1 species